rnacentral:lncRNA from 1 species
AGCUAGAUCAGCUUUUCUAGAACAUGGGUAGAUGGAUGGUGCUGGCUAAUAGAAUGAGGACCCCCAGUCUAGACCUGGAUUCUCAAUUCGCAAAGAGCCAGAUAUCAGUGAAAGCAACCAAAAUGCUAACACCAUAUUGAACCAAAUGGACUCUUCAUCAAUUUAUGAAUCUAUUGUUUUACAGAAUUCUGUAGAGGCCCUGAGUCAUCAGCCUGGAUACCAAUUCCUUUGCAUGGGAUCAAAGACAGAGAGCUUAAGAAGAACUGGGAUAGUCGGUAAGUGUUUGCUCAGACUGACAUCCAGGGAUACCUGCAGAGGUUCAUUUGGAUGAUUUUUUUCCCUCUGAUUUUGUAGAUUCAACUUCAGCUUUCUCACCUAUUAGUUGGUCUCCUGAGGCUGAAAUCUGAAGCAUCAAAAGGUAACGACGAUAUUAAAGCUUUUAUUUGACCAUUAAGCAAUGGCUCUUUCUCCCUUAGGUGAAAGUGGAAAUGUUUAUCCAAAUGUUUUGUGAUAUGUUUUUGUUUCAGUAUUGUCUGCAAGCAAAGAAGAUAGUGUUGAUAUAAAAAGCUGAUAAAAAUUAAAAUAGUGCCACCCAUUAGAUUGUUGAGGGCAUCCAAGAUCCCUAGUUGACACACUGUAUUGGGAGAGGUCCAUUUUGAACAAAGUUCUGGAGGAUUGAGCUCUGCAUGAAAGAGCCAGCUGCCAAUGAUAAUAAAUGUCUAACACCCUUACCUUGAUUAUAGCCUCCUCAACCUGUUCUGUGUUCCCAGUUCUAACUCAUUUUAUAUAGCAUUUGGGGCCUAAUCUUGAUUUUAGGACUCAGAUCUGAGGUUUGACACUUUCUUCUAAAAGGGACUUUUUUUUUUUUUUGGACAGCUCACAUUUACCACUUGGAAUAAUUUCUGCUCUUCCUGCUCUAGGUAAACAUUCCACUUGAUCCAGGAACAAAAACAAAGCAAAGUGAGAAUGAGGAGAAACAUGAACAAAGACUUUUCAGCUCGCAUGGAGGCUCUGAUCACCCAGGCAAGUGACAUAGACCCAGCCACCACAGCAGCAGGAGCACUCACAGGGGCGGUGCCCCCAGUUAAGACUCUACUUGAAGAUGCUCCACCCACUGCAAGUCAUGAAGUAAAUGUGGGUCAGAAAAGUGUAGGUCAAAAAGAC